GAUGCCUUCCAGCACACCAUUACAGCGCAGCUGGUGCAUCACCAGAGGGUUCUCCAUGGCCCCAGGAGUCUUGGUCUCAUUGGGGAUGAUGCAGCGAACAAAGUGAGGUUUUGACAACAAAGUGGACUACAGCACAGAAGAUCCCGGAGGUCUUAGGUCGUCGUCUGUGAGCUUCACUCCUCAUCUAACCCUUUCUGUGAUGAAGAAUGAUAAGACAGUAGACAAACAGAGAUGGAUUAGGGACAGAGGACCAACAACACUCAACAAGUGUUAUCAAAGGCAAGGUUCUUAUUUACAAUGGCGGCCUGACAAGUGACAAACCAACUUAGGGGAAGGGAAGAAGGGCUAGAAAAUAAAAUACAUUAGACGUUCAUACAGUUAAGAAAAAAAAAAUCUCAUAUAUGUAUUGUCAACUCAUUAACAAAGGCACAACAUGCCCAGAAAUGUAAUUAUUUUAGAAAACAAUAUGUAAUGCUUUCUGUGUGACAAAAUAUGCAUACCACUAACCUACUAAAUUGCACUAAUCCAAUUGACCAAAUCAAUA